rnacentral:lncRNA from 1 species
AAGAGGACACCAAAGCACGAAGAGUAUGCAAGUGAACUGCUCAUCAGCUUGAGCUGAGAGCUGAACCAGGCAUCCUGGGCCAGUUCUUGUAUGCCGGCCUCUCUCUGGAAUGUCAUCACCUCGGCUCUGUCCUUGAAAUCCUCCUUCUUCUUUGAGGCCCCGCCCAGAUUCCAGAGGAUGUGUGCCAAGCCCGCAUCGUUUUCUUCCUGCACUCAGACUCGAGUGCACCCUCGCCAACCAGCCCGACUUCAGCACCAAGACAAGGACUCCCUGGGCCUCCUGCUUAACCUUUCAAAAGGUGCAGCACAUGACCCCUCACAGAGAUGGGAGUGA